rnacentral:lncRNA from 1 species
GGAUCCUUGCCCCCUGGCGAUGGGCACCCAACACGUCCGCCAUGUUUUCUCCUAACCUUGGGCUUCUCCAAGAGCCGUGAGUGAGGUGGCCUCUCCUGGGUGGCCUCUCCUGGGUCCUUGCCCCCCCGCCAAUCCCUCUCUCCCCAACUGGCGUCCCGUCGGCACACUCUCUCCCUGGACUCCUGUCCCUUGGACACCCUGCGGAUGUGCCCGUGAGCCAUGUCGAGGCCCAAGGGAUUGUUAUGGCUCCCGUUGUUCUUCACCCCGGUCUGUGUCAUGCUCAACUCCAACGUCCUGCUGUGGAUCACUGCCCUCGCCAUCAAGUUCACGCUCAUCGACAGCCAAGCCCAGUACCCCGUCGUCAACACCAACUACGGCAAAAUCCGGGGGCUAAGAACACCAUUGCCCAAUGAGAUUUUGGGUCCCGUGGAGCAAUACUUGGGGGUCCCCUAUGCCUCGCCUCCUACCGGGGAGAGGCGGUUCCAGCCCCCAGAACCCCCUUCCUCCUGGACCGGUGUCCGGAAUGCCACCCAGUUUGCCGCCGUGUGCCCUCAACACCUGGAUGAGAGGUCUCUCCUGCAUGACAUGCUCCCAAUAUGGUUUACAGCCAAUCUGGAUACUUUGAUGACUUACGUCCAAGACCAAAAUGAAGAUUGCCUCUACUUGAACAUCUACGUGCCCACAGAAGACGGUAAGUGCUUCUCUUAUGGCCUGUCCAU